rnacentral:rRNA from 1 species
UACGUAGGGUGCGAGCGUUAAUCGGAAUUACUGGGCGUAAAGCGUACGCAGGCGGCUGCGCAAGACAGAUGUGAAAUCCCCGGGCCUAACCUGGGAACUGCAUUUGUGACUGCGCAGCUCGAGUCCGUCAGAGGGGGGUGGAAUUCCACGUGUAGCAGUGAAAUGCGUAGAGAUGUGGAGGAACACCGAUGGCGAAGGCAGCCCCCUGGGAUGAGACUGACGCUCAGGUACGAAAGCGUGGGGAGCAAACAGG